rnacentral:rRNA from 1 species
UUCGGCCUACGGGAGGCAGCAGUGAGGAAUAUUGGUCAAUGGCCGAGAGGCUGAACCAGCCAAGUCGCGUGAGGGAAGAAUGUCCUAAGGAUUGUAAACCUCUUUUGUCGGGGAGCAAAAAGGCUCUGCGGAGUCGUAUUGAGAGUACCCGAAGAAAAAGCAUCGGCUAACUCCGUGCCAGCAGCCGCGGUAAUACGGAGGAUGCGAGCGUCAUCCGGAUUUAUUGGGUUUAAAGGGAGCGUAGGUGGAUUGUUAAGUCAGUUGUGAAAGUUUGCGGCUCAACCGUAAAAUUGCAGUUGAAACUG